rnacentral:rRNA from 1 species
CCUACGGGAGGCAGCAGUGGGGAAUAUUGGACAAUGGGCGAAAGCCUGAUCCAGCAAUGCCGCGUGAGUGAAGAAGGCCUUCGGGUUGUAAAGCUCUUUUACCCGGGAAGAUAAUGACUGUACCGGGAGAAUAAGCUCCGGCUAACUCCGUGCCAGCAGCCGCGGUAAUACGGAGGGAGCUGGCGUUGUUCGGAAUUACUGGGCGUAAAGCGUACGUAGGCGGCUUGGUAAGUCAGAGGUGAAAGCCCACGACUCAAUCGUGGAACUGCCUUUGAGACUGCUUCGCUUGAAGAUGGGAGAGGUUAGUGGAAUUCCGAGUGUAGAGGUGAAAUUCGUAGAUAUUCGGAAGAACACCAGUGGCGAAGGCGGCUAACUGGACCAUUCUUGACGCUGAGGUACGAAAGCGUGGGGAGCAAACAGGAUUAGAUACCCUGGUAGUCCACGCCGUAAACGAUGAUAACUAGCUGUCGGGGCUCUUGGAGCUUCGGUGGCGCAGCUACGCAUUAAGUUAUCCGUCCGUCGGGUAGGUACGGUCCGGCCGAACGGUUAAAACGUAACGAAAGUAAGUAGUAGGACGCGUAAGUAGUAGUUCGACGACGACGACGACGGAGGAGGAG